rnacentral:rRNA from 1 species
AUGCUCGUGAAGUUGAAAGAGCCCGCUGCUAUGGUAAAAAGCUUCCUAUCCUUGAUGAUUCUGUUGUGGUAUCCAUUUCCCCUUGGUCAGCGUCAGUGGGCGCUAAGGCUGAACUCCAAGAAACCUUGGGUUCAUGUCCGCAAUGUACCCUUGGAAAAAAAAUGUGUGCAACAUGUGUCAUAUGCUGGUGGUUUGGUGGGUUUCACUUUGGAGGUUGAUAAGGCUACUCUUCAUAAGCCCGAAUAUGCUCGCAUCCUUCUCGGGUGUAGGGAGGUGGAAAAAAUUCCUCCUUCUGCUGAAGGAAUGUUGGGUGAACAGUUUUAUGAUUUCUAUUAUGAGGUUGAGCAUGUGGUGACAGGGCCUUCUGGUGCUAGCCAACACUCUGUUCCUGUGGACAGCAAUUUUUCUCCUUCUGUUCCUAAAAAGGCUAGAUUUGAUUCUCAAUCUUCUGCCUCGAAUGAACAAGGAGGGACGAGUGCCUCAGCUAUUGGGAAUUCCUCUUAUCAGAACUAUACUGGUAGUACCCGGUUGUCUGCUGUUUCUGAAACUGAAGAGGAAGAGGAUUGCGAUGAUGGAAAUCAUACUGAACUUCUGAUACACACCAUGGCUGAAGAGCGUGAUGCUGUGAAUCUAUCUGAUUCAGAUAACUUGGUGGUGAGUCCGGAAAGUGAUCCUGGAAAGGGGGGAGGGACACUUUGUGUAACUCCCCGAUGCACAAGGAGAAGCUGA